GACGAACGCUGGCGGCGUGCUUAACACAUGCAAGUCGAACGGUGAAGCGCCUUCCUUUUUGGUGGGUGUGGAUGAGUGGCGAACGGGUGAGUAACACGUGAGUAACCUGCCCCCUUCUUCUGGAUAACCGCAUGAAAGUGUGGCUAAUACGGGAUAUUCUGGGUCUGUCGCAUGAUGGGUCUGGGAAAGAUAUUGUUUCGGUGGGGGAUGGGCUCGCGGCCUAUCAGCUUGUUGGUGUGGUGAUGGCCUAGCAAGGCGGUGACGGGUAGCCGGCCUGAGAGGGUGAACGGUAGCAGUUGUACUGAGACGCGCGGCCAACUCCGGAGUGAGACAGCAGUGGGGCAUAUAGGACAAGGAGCGCAAGGCUGUAUCAGCGACGCGGCGGGACGGAUGGGCGGCGUCGGGUCGUGAGCGUCUUUCGCCAGUGAUGUAGGACGGCCUCGCUUGUGGGUGGGUUGACGGUAGCUGGAUAAGAAGCGCCGGCUAUAUACGUG
rnacentral:rRNA from 1 species